GACCCAAUGGCAUAAUGGUUAAUGCACCUGCUCCAAUUAAUGUUGGUUGAAAUGAGUGAUUUCAGCAGGACAUCCUUGUUCGAUUCGAGGUUGGGUCA